UUUAGGUUCAGAGGGAGGUAUGAAUGUACGGGCUACAUUUAGAACUGGUGUAGGUUGGGAGGUUCUGGUGAUUGAGGGUGAAAUAUCAGAGGUGGUAUAAAUAGGUUGUGAAGGGAGAGGGUUAGAAGAAGCCAUCAGAGGAUUAGAGGUAACAGGAGGAACAGACGUACCAGUAGAGAUAUUCAGAGGAGCUGAAGAUUUGCUUCCAGA
rnacentral:lncRNA from 1 species